rnacentral:piRNA from 1 species
UCCCAUUGGUUCCAAGUAAGCAUCUCUUC